UCUAAUUCCAAAUACGCUAAUACCUUGUAUUUUCCCUCUUGCUAAAGCUCAAAGCAGUGGUGUAUGUUGUAAACAAUUGCGUUGCAGAUAGAUAGUUCUUGUUUUCUUUCUUUUUCUAAGGCCAGCAGUCAGUACUAUACUCGGCAACUGGAAACUAGCAAAGGAAACUGUGAAUUGGCUUGAUAAUUAAAGAGGGGCUAACUCUACAAAAGAUGGACGGUCCUGA
rnacentral:misc_RNA from 1 species